rnacentral:rRNA from 1 species
GACGAACGCUGGCGGCGUGCCUAAUACAUGCAAGUCGAGCGCUGAAGGUUGGUUCUUGUACCGACUGGAUGAGCAGCGGACGGGUGAGUAACGCGUGGGUGAUCGGCCUUUGAGCGGGGGACCACAUUUGGGAACGAAUUCUAAUACCGCAUAAAAACUUUAAACACAAGUUUUAUGUUUGAUAGAUGCAAUUGCAUCACUCAAAGAUGAUCCCGCGUUGUAUUAGCUAGUUGGUGAGGUAAAGGCUCACCAAGGCGAUGAUACAUAGCCGACCUGAGAGGGUGAUCGGCCACAUUGGGACUGAGACACGGCCCAAACUCCUACGGGAGGCAGCAGUAGGGAAUCUUCGGCAAUGGACGAAAGUCUGACCGCGCAACGCCGCGUGAGUGAAGAAGGUUUUCGGAUCGUAAAACUCUGUUGGUAGGGAAGAACGUUGAUGAGAGUGGAAAGCUCAUCAAGUGACGGUAACUACACAGAAAGAGACGGCUAACUACGUG